rnacentral:rRNA from 1 species
AGAACGAACGCUGGCGGCAUGCCUAACACAUGCAAGUCGAACGAGACCUUCGGGUCUAGUGGCGCACGGGUGCGUAACGCGUGGGAAUCUGCCCUUAGGUUCGGAAUAACAGUGGGAAACUACUGCUAAUACCGGAUAAUGACGUAAGUCCAAAGAUUUAUCGCCUAGGGAUGAGCCCGCGUAAGAUUAGCUAGUUGGUGAGGUAAAGGCUCACCAAGGCUACGAUCUUUAGCUGGUCUGAGAGGAUGAUCAGCCACACUGGGACUGAGACACGGCCCAGACUCCUACGGGAGGCAGCAGUGGGGAAUAUGGACAAUGGGCGAAAGCCUGAUCCAGCAAUGCGCGUGAGUGAUGAAGGCCUUAGGGUAGUAAAGCUCUUUUACCCGGGAUGAUAAUGACAGUACCGGAGAAUAACGCCCCGGACUAACUCCGCGCCAAGCAGCCGC